GGCUACCGAUCUGAUGCUCCUGAAGAGUGUGAGAGUGAGUAAGAGAGGAGACAGAGAGGCAGAGAGAGCGAGAAACAAAAUAGAAAGAGGGGAAAAAAAGCUAGUGGAAGCACUAGGAAACAAUCAACGCCACUGUCUUCUGAGACGAAAACGCAUCAGGUCAUCCGAGGAUGGUAGCCGUUUCCAUUGCCUCUCUGUGUGGUGAGUUUGAGCUGUUAUCCAAGGGAAGAGGCAGAGCGGAUGAGAGAAGCAGAUGGACACUCUGGUGGGGCGGGUCAGCUGGUGUUGUGAAUCAGGCCGCCGUAGUGAGAGGGAACGGCUUCUUCACAACACCAGGGUCACACCCUACCACACGCAGCACCAGCGCGCGCGCACACACACACACGGGUCUGUUUUGUACAAUGUCAGGACGUAGGGUUGUACAUGUGAAAAAGCAAUAAGCAUCUGAAAAAUUCAUAUUUAAAGCUGUUUAUCUGGGAGGUAAGCAUAUAUUUGUUUAGCAAAAACACUGUUAGAUUAAAGGCAAAUAAACAACACACACUGUGAUUAAACAUGUUAGUGUAAUGGUGACCAGCACAGAUGAUUUUUAGUGGGCCGGUGACCAGCACAGAUGAUUUUCUUGUUCUUAACACACUCAAUAAACCUGGCAAUUAUAUAGAAUCGAUGUUUUCAAUAAUAAAAAACAAAUUGGUUUCUGAUGAAUGCAUUAAAAUCAUAUUCCAACUAAAUAGUAGGAAACCUGAAAAAAAGAAUUUUCAGAUGGAUCCAGAAUGAAGAACAUGGAGCAUGGUGUGUAUGUACUGUUCUAAAAUGACUGAGAAAGCUGUAUAACAUCAAGAAUGAAAUUAUAACUAACGCAUGAAUAAACCAAAUGCCUUGUAUUUAAAUCUUGAAAAUGAAAAUGUAUUUUUGACCAAAAUGUAUUAUAAAUAAACAAAUAUAAAAAUGUAUUAUAUAUAUAUAUAUAUUGAAAUAUUGAAUACAACAUCUAGAAAUGCCUUUGGUAUCUAGUUUAUGAUAUUAAAAUCUACAUUGUUAUUAUAGGUAAAAGGACAAAGAUUGUUAAUAUGCAACAUAAACAUGCAGCUUUUGCUUACAAUAAAUACCUAGAACUUUAAAGCACUCUCCGUUUUGAUGAUGUGAUACGGUAUGAUAAAAUAGUUUUUUUCUGUUUUAUUUCCUGAAAAUGUACAAAACCCAUAACAAAAAGAUACACAAUGUUGUUUUGUGAAUUCAACAAGUGCGCUGUUUCUUCACCACCACACCCUAACAGACUCCUGAGCACUACCAACUGACGACACAGCUGAGAAGAUUUCAUGAGAGAAAACUGGGCUGAAGCUGCUCUCUUUGGUCACAUCCACAUUAAUGAUUUACUGCUCUGAGAAUAGAUUUAUGGUAGAUGCGACAAUACAAAGCAAAUAUUCAUACAGAGGGUGUUCAUGAUGUGAUGAUGCAAAACCUAUAUAUAAAAUGCAGAAGUUUGCUUUUAUAUAAGAUUUUUUUUUCUCAAGCAAAAAUGUGAUGAUGCAAUGACAGUGUCAUUUUAAUCUAAAUCUGAAUAUAUUUAAAUGGAUUAAGAAUCUACAGAAUGUUCAUAUUUUUGUCUUGAAACUUGAUCUUGAAAGUUUAAAUAUAAA